GACGAACGCUGGCGGCGUGCCUAAUACAUGCAAGUAGAACGCUGAAGGAGGAGCUUGCUUCUCUGGAUGAGUUGCGAACGGGUGAGUAACGCGUAGGUAACCUGCCUGGUAGCGGGGGAUAACUAUUGGAAACGAUAGCUAAUACCGCAUAAUAGUAGAUGUUGCAUGACAUUUGCUUAAAAGGUGCAAUUGCAUCACUACCAGAUGGACCUGCGUUGUAUUAGCUAGUUGGUGGGGUAACGGCUCACCAAGGCGACGAUACAUAGCCGACCUGAGAGGGUGAUCGGCCACACUGGGACUGAGACACGGCCCAGACUCCUACGGGAGGCAGCAGUAGGGAAUCUUCGGCAAUGGACGGAAGUCUGACCGAGCAACGCCGCGUGAGUGAAGAAGGUUUUCGGAUCGUAAAGCUCUGUUGUAAGAGAAGAGCGAGUGUGAGAGUGGAAAGUUCACACUGUGACGGUAUCUUACCAGAAAGGGACGGCUAACUACGUG
rnacentral:rRNA from 1 species